CAUGUUGGUUUUUCUACACAAGCCCAACAGUGCCCCUGGUGCAGAGUGGAACUGGUCACAACAAGGCAGCGUGAAAUAAAGGGGCAAUCAGCCAGGACAGACUGAGACAACUGCAGCAGGGUUAAAGCCCCUGCUGUUACCGACUCCAGGAGGGGUGUGACCCAAACCCUGCUUAGGGAAAGCAUUGCCCCAAUGAGCCCAACUUCCUGCAAGUCCAAACCAGACCUUAGAGGCAUGGAACAUGAAGCAUCUUAAUGCUGAAUGGCAUUGGGCAUGAGACAGGUCUUGUCAGAGAACUCAUCUGCUAACCAGAUCAUAAUUGCUGACAUCACAGAGGCUCAUCUGCCACAAAGCGAUCAAGUUACCAUGGAAGGAGCAACCUCCCUCUACUCCAGUGGUCUAUACCAAACUCCAGGUGUGGCGCCUGUAAGACAACCUCUAGCAUAGACUUUAACCCCAUCUCUCCACGCUUACUGUAUGAUUGCCUCCAACAUUGUGGUGGACACUUAAAAUUUGUUGUUGUGGCCUAUGCUCUGACAAAAGAUCUAGCACCUGCAGAAAAGGACACAUUCUACCACCUGAUAGCAGAAAAAAUCCAGUCAACUCCAUCACAUGACACACUGCUGGCACUUGGAGUUUCAAUGCUAUGAAUGGAUGCAAUCAAACUGGGUAUGAAACUCUAAGAGAUCCCUUUGGUUUCAGUUUACCAAAUGACAACGCCACUUGGCUUUUGACAUUCUGUGCCACUGAGGGCUUGUCUGUUAUGGGCUCCUGGCUUAGGAACUGUAAUAAUCAUUGCGGAACCUGGAUUUAUAACAAUGGAUGUGGACUACAUCCUCAUCAGAAAUUGUUCCAUAGUGAAAUCUCACUGGGUCUUUGGUGAUAUAGAUGCACCAGCAAACUCAAACCAUAAACGAGUCAUUGCUCAGCUUUCAUAUCAUCUUCCAGCUCCUCACAAGCCAGAUGUCCAGCAACAGUAUGAUAUCUAGCAUCUUUCAAAGGAUCCUGCUGAAGCUGUGAAAUACACACAGGGCAUUGAGGAUCAUUGACGUAACCUCAGAACCUUCUAGAACCACCUAGAGUGGUGUACAUAACGUUGUAUUACAUGAUGCCACUGGGACUUUCAGCUUCAGAUGAAUGUGCAAGAAACCUCUUUCUGAAGAGACCCUUAAUAUGUCAGCAAAAAAGGCAGAAGCAUACAGGCAGGCAUAUGUCUAAGAACGUAAACUGAUGAAAGGUGUCUUCCAGGAUAUGGCAAAAUGUGACUGUGAUGCAUCAAUUCCCCGGCCAAUGAAUCAGAGGACAGCCUAAAGGACAACAAUCUGUAUCCUUCCUACAAAGCCACCGUGUGCCUGGUCUGGAAGCUAUAAACAGCUUUCUAACGUCCCCAUCACACAAGCAGACAGCUCUGCCUGCUCAUCAAUAGAUUGAGGUCCUGGACAGAUGGAAAACUCAAAAUGAAAGUGUGCUGAACCACAUACCUGCCGAUGACUGUCCAGAGCUACAUGAGCUGGCAAACUGCACAGAUGCAGUCCCAGGGGCAAACACAGAUCCUCUGUCAGUUGAGGAAGUAUAAAAGGUCAUCCAAAAGUUAUGGAAUGGACAUGCUGCUGGACCUCAUGAUGAUCCUCCCAAACUGUUCAAAGAUGCCUUGAAACCAGGGAACAUUGGCCUGCAUCAACAGUUCUUAAAAGCGUGGGCAUCAGAAACCCCGAGAAGAAGAUUCAGAAGACGGAGUGGGAUUUAAUGAGAGUGGAGCAAGGCCUCUUAGUGCAACAGAAACUGUAAGAGCAAGUACUAUUCUACAGCCAGAGACUUUCAUAGACACCUUACAGCUGAACUCUUUACUCGUGGUUUUGUUUUGAGAUCCCCAUUUUUGGAAACAGGCUGUUUUCAAGACCAGUAUGAGGCUAAUUCAAUGAUCCUGAAAGCGAAGGUUGGAAUACAGUGGCACAGCCAGAAUUGCAAAACGCUAUUGCAGUCUUUUUAACGUAUCGCUGUUGGUGCUCCCAGUUCUGGCCGGCAGUUCCAUUCUGGAACUUCUCUUGAGCAAGAAAUGCUAAGUGUGAAUGCUGCGGUGCUUCUGGACAUGCACCGAUGGGGUAUUUAUUUGCAUUUGCUGCCAAACCCAGAGCAAGAACUCUAAUCAACCAACCCAGUGUGCUACCUACUCCUCCCUUUUUGAACACUCAUAAUAGAAAGGGAAUUUACUUUAGGACUGGUACCUUAACUUGACUCUCUAUACACAUUUACAGUAUUUACAAGACUUUCUUUAUAAUAAAUCACAAGUUAUCAUGGCAUCUACUUAAUGACAAGAAAAAGAUCAGGGAGAAGCAAACCGCUUCUUGUUUAGUUGAUUUUGCAGAGAAUCAGUGCACACAAUAAACACUAGCAGAUCAACAUUUGAUCCAAACUCCAUGACUCUUGGGCCUUUUUCUAAUUAUAAGCAGUAUUUACACCUUAUCUAUCUAAUCUGUCCAACUUGAAUGUGGUGUAACAAUGAAUCACAGCCCAUGCUGAAUUUUAGCACAGCACCAGAGGUACUGAAGUCUCAGAUAUACAGCUUAUGCCUAUUUAUCAGGGAGAGUAAACAGUGCAUCUUUUCACGUUUAACUCUGUGGUUUGUUUAGAUUUUGCAGACAGUUUUAAGACUUGCUACUGUCAUAUAUCCCACUUAUUUUGCACUAAAAUUAACUGCAGAAUAAUUGAAAGCAGAUGUAGGGUAAUAAUGCAACAAACAGGACUGUCUUGUUAUCAGCUCACAAGAUAGCAGACAAUCCUUUCUAUCUUCUUUGCAGAGAGAUCUUUUGUAAUGAUUAGUAUUGCAGCAACAUAUUACUCAUGCUAGCGGUAUGAAAAUCUACCAUCGGAGGGUAAAGAAUACAAUCUUUGGGAGAACAGUAACAGCUAGGACUCAGAGUAAAGAUAUUUGAGUUCAGCUCUCCAAAUUUCCGUGUUUUAGUAAUUUUAUUCAUUUACUUUACGGAGAAACAGAGAGUGCAACGUGGAAUAGUAAAGCUGAUCUGAAAUGUUUCAGCUAGAUGUAUUUUAGUGAGCCAAGGUAGUGCUCAUUUAGCGAAAACCUCACAGUGGUAUUGGGUGCAUCACUGAAUAAAUGCAACUUCUGCUCCUAAACAUCCAAGUGUUUAUGGAGCAGGAUAAAUUUAUCCCUGAGUUCACAAGAUGCUACUGAGGAAGUUAUCACUAUUCUGUUUAACGUUUUUUCUAGGCAUUUAUUGCUGGUGAACUGUGCCUAGCAUGGCAGUUAAUCAUUUGGGCACAUCAAGCAUUAACUGUUAGCAAUCUGACUGGCCCAUCACUGUUUUCAGUCAGUUUAAAGGCUAUAUACCUAAUUAUACCCAUCAUGUGGAUAGAGGUGAAUAGUGCAAAGGAUACUCUAUUCUGAUUGCCGUGUUUGGAACGUCAAAUGCAUAACUGAGAUGCUUGUCAUCUGGGAUAAAUAUAACCCUUUGGAUGCUGGCCCUCCUUUACACCUGCUGUCACACAGUAAUUUAUAAUCAGAGGAAUGUUUGAAGAUUACAGUAUUUGGUGGAUUCUGCUGCAGCAGGUGCAUUCCACCUGGAUGUACCCAGCACCU